GGGGGUGGAGCUCGGAUGGUUUGAGUGUUGGUCUGUCACGCCAAAGGUCGCGGGUUCAAGUCCCGUC